ACGGGUGAGGAAUACAUCGGAAUCUGCCUAUUUGUGGGGGAUAACGUAGGGAAACUUACGCUAAUACCGCAUACGACCUACGGGUGAAAGCGGAGGACCUUCGGGCUUCGCGCAGAUAGAUGAGCCGAUGUCGGAUUAGCUAGUUGGCGGGGUAAAGGCCCACCAAGGCGACGAUCCGUAGCUGGUCUGAGAGGAUGAUCAGCCACACUGGAACUGAGACACGGUCCAGACUCCUACGGGAGGCAGCAGUGGGGAAUAUUGGACAAUGGGCGCAAGCCUGAUCCAGCCAUGCCGCGUGGGUGAAGAAGGCCUUCGGGUUGUAAAGCCCUUUUGUUGGGAAAGAAAAGCAGUCGGUUAAUACCCGGCUGUCAUGACGGUACCCAAAGAAUAAGCACCGGCUAACUUCGUGCCAGCAGCCGCGGUAAUACGAAGGGUGCAAGCGUUACUCGGAAUUACUGGGCGUAAAGCGUGCGUAGGUGGUGGUUUAAGUCAGAUGUGAAAGCCCCGGGCACAACCUGGGAACUGCAUUUGAUACUGGAUCACUAGAGUGCGGUAGAGGAUAGCGGAAUUCCCGGUGU
rnacentral:rRNA from 1 species